GCUAACUCCGGGACAGCAGGCGCGGGAAUGCGGAGGAUCCGAGCGUUAUCCGGAUUGAUUGGGGUUAAAGGGUGCGUAGGCUGAAGAAUAAGUCAGUGGUGAAAGUUUGCAGCUCAACUGUAAAAUUGCCGUUGAAACUGUUUUUCUUGAGUGUAAAUGAGGUAGGCGGAAUGUGUUGUGUAGCGGUGAAAUGCUUAGAUAUGACACAGAACACCGAUUGCGAAGGCAGCUUACUAAGAUACAACUGACGCUGAGGCACGAAAGCGUGGGGAUCGAACAGGAUUAGAUACCCUGGUAGUC
rnacentral:rRNA from 1 species